AAGGCCUUCGGGUUGUAAAGCUACUUUUGUCCGGUAGCGAAACGGUUAACGGUCGUAAUAUCCGGUGACUACUGACGGUACCGGAAGAAUAAGCACCCGGCUAACUACGUGC
rnacentral:rRNA from 1 species